rnacentral:lncRNA from 1 species
CACACACACACACACACACACACACACACACACACACACACACACACAAACAGAGAUAUAGAACAAUGGAACAGGAUAGCCCAGAAAUAAAGCCAAGCACCUGUGGUCAACUAAUCUAUGAAAAAGGAGGUAAUAACAUACAGUGGAGGAAAGAAAAUCUCUUUAAUAAGUGGUGCUGUCAAAACUGGACAGCUACAUGUAAAAGAAUGAAAUUAGAACAUUUUCUAACAUCAUAAACAAAAAUAAAUUCAAAGUGGAUUAAAGACCUAAAUGUAAGGCCAAAUACUAUAGUGCUCAUAGAGGAAAAUACAGGCAGAACAUACUUUGACAUAAAUUGCAGCACUCUUGUUUGAUCCACCUCUUAGAAUAAUGACAACAAAAACAAAAAUAAACCAAUGAGACCUAAUUAAGCGUAAAAGCUUUUGCAUAGCAAAGGAAACCUUAAAAAAAAUGAAAAAGAAACUCACAGAAUGGAAGAAAAUCUUUGCAAAUGAAGUCACCAACAAAGGAUUAAUUCCAAAAUAUACAAACAUCUCAUGGAAAAGAGUUUGCUGUUGGCAAAGCAGGUUAAGGGCCUGAAGCUGUCCCUGCUAUGGCAUGGUUUGAUCCCUGGCCUGGGAACUUCCAUAUCGUCUGGGCAAGGCCAAAAAGAAAAAAAAAGUUACUAGAUGAUAAAAAAAAAUCUUGUGGAACUUUAUAUUAAAAAACCAAAAAACCCAAUCAAGAAAUGGGCAGAUCUAAAUAGACAUUCUCCAAAGAAGACAGACAGAUGGCCAAAAAUAAAGAUGCUCAACAUCACAAAUUGUUAGAGAAAGCAAAUUAAAACUAUAAUGAGAUCACCUCACAUCAUCAAAAAUGGUCAUCAUCAAAAAAUAUACAAACAAUAAAUGCUGGAGAGAGUGUGGAAAUGUAAAUUGUUGUAACCACUAUGGAGGACAGUACAGAGGUUCCCUAUAAAACUAAAUAUAGGACUGCCAUUCGAUCCAGCAAUCCACUUCUGGGCAUCAAUCCAGAGAAAACCAUAAUUUCAAAGAUACAUGGACCUCAGUGUUCAUUGCAGUGCUAUUUACAAUGGCCAAGACGUGGGAGCAACCUAAAUGUCCAUCAACAGAGAAAUAGGUCAAGAAGGUGUGGUACAUAAAAACAAUGGAAUAUUACUCAACCAUAAAAAGAAUGAAAUAAUGCCAUUUGCAGCAACAUGGAUAGACCUAGAGAUUAUCAUACUUAGAGAAGUCAGAUAAAGACAAAUAUCAUAUGACAUCACUUACAUGUGGAAGACUAAUAAAAAAUAAUACAAAAAAUUUAAAGCAGAAACAAAUUCAUAGAUUCAAAAGCAAUCUUGUGGUUACCAUAGGUGAAACUAUUAUGGGGAGGGAAGAAUUGGGAGGAUGGGAAUAACAUAUACACACUACUGUAUAAAAUAUAUGAUUAACAAGAAUCUACUUGGAGUUCCCAUUGUGGCUCAGUGGUUAAUGAAUCUGACUAGAAACCAUGAGGUUGUGGGUUCGAUCCCUGGCCUCGCUCAGUGGGUUAAGGAUCCGGUAUUGCUGUGAGCUGUGUUGUACGUUGCAGACGUGGCUUAGAUCCUGCAUUGCUGUGGCUCUGGCAUAGGCUUGGCAGCUACAGCUCCGAUUAGACCCUUAGCCUGGGAACCUCCAUAUGCCGCGAGUGCGGCCCUAGAAAAGAUACAAAACAAACAAACAAAAAACUAAAAAACAAAAAGAAAACACUACUCUAUAGCACAGGAAAAUUUACUCAAUAGUUUGUAAUAACCUACAUGGUAAAAAAAAGUAAUGGAUAUAUAUAUUUAUAUGUAUGACUGAUUCAUUUUGCACUCCAUCUGAAACUAAUACAAAAUUGUAAGUCAACUAUACUUCAAUAAAGUUAAAUAAAUAAAAAGACAUAAUGAAAGUCUAUAAAGCAUGUGAAAAAGUGCUUAACAUCUGUAGUAAUCAGAGAGUUUCAAAUUAAACUACAACCACUAGAAUGACCAGUGACUUAAAUACAAACUAUUGAUGAGGUUUUAGAGAUAAUUUCCAUAUAUUACUGGUGAGAGUGAAAAAUUGUACUAGUAUUUUGAAGAGUUUCAAUAGUUUCUCAUAAAGUUAAACAUCCUCCUACUUUAAUAAUCCCUAAUAAUCCCACUACUAGUUAUUUACCUAAGAGAAAUAAAACGUAUUUCUGCAAAGACUGAUGGAUGCAUCAGUUCUCUGUGUAUUUCCAUUCAUUAUUGUUUCCUGUAUUUGAGGCUAAGUUAAUAUUGUCUUUCUUAGGAAAUGUGUUAAAUAUUUUUGGAAGUCAUCUUGGCCAUAUUUUAUAGUCUCAUAUUUAUUUUUAUUUUCUAAGUAUAUUUUUAAUUCUUUUAUUUUUAAAAACAUACUAAGCAUACAAAUUUUAUAUUCUGUGUUUGACAAUUAUAAUACCUUAGGUCAUUCUUUAUGCUGCUGUUUUUGUUCCUUAUGUAUUUUUAUUUAUUUUUUCAGCUGGCACUCUCUCCUCCAGAGAAGAAUUGUGCUUUCUUUCUUACAGACGCAUGAAACAAUAACAACCAAGGACAGCUUUAAUAUAAAGUCUUGGCUGGAGGUGUUCUGGACACAUAGAGGGUGACUCUGCCCUCAAAUUCUCAUAAAGUCUGACUUAGGUCUACAAAUCCUCAGGGGAAUUCUUAUUGCCUUGCUACCCGACACCGAGUUAGAAUGUGGCAGAUUUUUUGCUCUGCUUUUUGCUUUGUGACUUUUUUCUCUCAUUAACCUAAACACUGAGGCUUUGGGGAUCUUUAUGAAGACACUUUUUAUUUGAUUGUCGAUCUUUGCCUAAACCUGAAUUUCUUCCCCUGUUCUCUCUGCUGCAUGUAAGUGCAGAAGUAAAAACUAUGGCUCAUCAAGAUUAAUGAAUCCAGGAUAAAAAUUAAAUUCAGAGAUAGCUUGCCACUUUGGAUUCCCAAUUUUGCUACACAUUUGAUUUUGAAGAAGUCAGUCUUCUUGCCAAUAAAGGGGUUUAAGUUAUGAGUAUUCCUGCAUCUGUACGUGUGUGUAUGAGUUUAUGUGCUUGCAUACAUAUACUUGUAUGUCUCUACCUUUUUGGUGGUUUUUCCACAAUGGGUUUUUUUUAGAAUAUCUAGGCUAUCAUUUUGCCAGGAAAACUGUGCCUUCUUACUUUAAUUUCAGUCAUAUGUCACAUUUUAAUAUAUACAUGGAUUUAUUUUAAUACUAUAUAUUUCCAUAUUCAGUUUCUCUGCAUUUCAUAUUUUAAUCACUAUACUUUGUAGUAUGAAUUAAUACCAAGUUAUCAUAUUCCAACAUUUGUGUUUCUACUGUAAAUUUAUAUUUUGGCCUUUGCUGUUUCAUAUCAAUUUUAGGGUCAGCUUGUCAGGUUCCACAAACAUUUUGCUGCUAUUUGAUUAAUGAUGUUUAGAAAGGCUAUCAAGUUUUAUGUAUUACUCUUAUUCACUAGAAUUGGUUCUGUUUUGCCAGUAUAUUUUUUAAUAUAUGCACACACAUAUAUAUAAUCAAUUAUCUUUAAAAAAGGAGAGUAAAUCUCAAUCUUUCAAAUUUUUAUAAUUAUUUUUUGACUUAUUUGACUGUAUUGACUGGUAAAAACAUCUGUUUGUAUUUGUAUUUAUUAUUUAUUCUGAAUCUAGACUCUCUGAUACUCUAAUCAUAUCCCAAAUGUGAAAAAACAAAAACCAAAAAACUGGAAGGUUGUAAUGGGUCUGAAGGAAUGUUUUGAAUUAUUGAAUAUUUGAAAAAAAGGAUACUCUAGGCUUCUUCCUCACUUUAUUAAAGAUACUUCCUGUAGUUUGAUGGUAUCUGUAGGCUAUUGAUAGAAAUGCAUAAUCGGGCUGCUUUUUGACAUUUUCUCGUUGUCCCUGGCUUAAGAAUUUUGCUAUAAAUUCCUAGGUUUAGCUGUCUUUGAAUUCAUCUUGCUUUGCUUUUACAGAGUUUCUUGAAUCUAUGGCUUGAUGUCUCCUGUCUGUUUUGCAAAUUUCUUAGCUGGUAUCUAUUCAAACACUGUCUCAUUAUCUUCUAUCUUUCUAGUUCUCUAAUUACAUGUACAUUAGAAAUUUUCACUGUGUCCUGUAUAUUUUUUAAUACUCUUUCCUGAAUUUUCCAUCUUUCUCUCUGUGCAUCUAUCUACUUAUCUUCCAGUUCACUAGUUCUCUAUUCUGCUGUUAAAUCCUCUUCUGAGCUCUUAAUUUCAGUAAAUUAUUUGCUUAGUUCUGAAAUAAUUUUAUUUGAUUCUUUUUAAUAGAUUUCAUUUUUCUGAUAAAAUUCUGCAUUUGCUGUUCUACUUUCUUAAUUAUCUUCAUUAAAGUUUUAAAAACAUCCUUGUCUAUUAUAAUGGCUAUAUCACUCAUGAAAUUUUUUCUGUUGUCUGUUUUUGAUCACUUGCUCCUAUUCCUAUCAUGCUUAGUAAUUUUUGAUUGAAUGCUGGGCAUUGCUUAUGAAUUAUUCUGGAGGCCUUGGAUGGUGUUAUCUUCCCCAUAGAGGAUUUAUUAUCUUUCUCUUGGAAAGUCAAGGUACUACACAAUUACCAUGAUAUAGCUGAAGCUGAAUUUCAGAACUUGUUAGGUUUGGUCUGUUUUUGGUUUGACCUUAGCUCUGGAUGAUGCACUGAGGUUUCAUUUUUACUUUGUUUCACAUUUGGUGGAAGUUGUUAUGCCAGUCUUAGAAUGAUAGUUUAAUAAAUCUCCUCAGAAAUAAAAUGUCUGGCUACAUUUGUGUUGAUCAUGGUCUCUGAGGCAGUGAUUCAUAAUUACUUCUAGUAUCUUAUAAUUAUGUGGGCCAUAUAUAAACAAAUAAAUAAAACAAAUCUGGAAGCCCAUAAUGACCAUGAAGAAAUGCCUCUGAAAUGCUAAACACUUGGAAUUUAUGGACUAAUAAUACAAUAAUUUUGAUGGUGAGGAACUAUGCUGACCCCUGCUUCUUAUAUCCAGACUUACUGUUUUUUUUUUUUGUUUUGUUUUCCUUUUUGGUCCGUGGAUCUAAGGGAAAUAUUAAGUAUACGAGUGUGACAGUAAAAUAAAUGACCUAACUGUAUAUGAUAAAGUCUUGAAGCAACAUAGGUGUCUGAUUGAAGAAAUUUUCCUAUGGCAAAAUUUAGAAUGCUCUCAUUUGAUACAUAUUAGCACAUUCUGAAAUUACAAGUUCCUCUCUUGACUCUGAGAGAGAGCCCUAACAAAGAUCCAUUUCGAUGUUUCUCAGGAGCAGGUAAUCUGGACGUGACAUUUUACCAGCUGAAUACCCAGAGGGAUAAAAGGACAUUUGUGUUUGCCUUUUUGUUUGUUUGCUUCCUGUAAGUUUUAAUGGUUUUGCUACAGGCCUGAUCUAGGCAAUCUUUUUCAGCCAUGAAAUUGCUGUUGUGUUUCCCCUAUAAUAUGAAUAAUUUGACUCCGGGCAUGCAUGCAGUCUGGUUAUGGUUAAUUUCAGAGUCUGAUUAUUGAAGAAAUUUUGCCCUAGUAUAGCACAAAGUCUCUUCUCAUGAAUUCUCAGACACUUGUUUCAUAAAGCUUCCAAGAGAGAGGACAAACCUCCAGCCAAAUGGCUGAAGAAUAAUAGGUAUGGUUAGAUGAUAGGCACCAUCAUGCAUUCUUGGGAAACAGCUAUGAUUGGGCUGAUGUGUUAAGGUGGUGAGAUACUUAGAAAAUAAAAUAUGUCAAAUCCCUGAUUUUAACCAGCUGCUCACCAUCUCCAGAUGGGUGGAAAGAGUUCAAUUUCCCCCUUGUCUUCUGUGGUAAACAAUACAUUAUUAUAAAUUAACAUUUAUUUUGAAAUGUGCAUAACAGCUGCAGGUUGGCUGCAAUAGUGAUAAGCAUACAAAAAAAAAAAAAAAGCCUGAUGUGAAGCUUUCAAAACAGAAGGAAUGGUUAGGCUCCACGAACUCGAGACAAUUCAUUUUGUUUGGCUCUGUCUUGUGAGCUCCCUGGUUGUUUUGUCUUCUUUUCUUUUCAGAAUCUGUUGCUAAAUCCUUGUGUCUAUAGGGAGAUUUUCCUGUUCCUGUUAGCUUAUAAUCUUUCUCUUUAAGAAAUUGUAUUCACUACAUUUUGGAGAGCUUAAUUUGCAACAAAUCAUAAGGGAAAACUUGAAGAGGCCUUUUUUUUCCCUUCCAUGAGCCUGUAGUCUUUUCUUUUGUUAAUUUCCAAAGUCUUUCACUAUUUGUACUUGAAAAACCAUGAACAAAUGAGUUAAGUUUUCCUGUUCUUAGGAAAAUAAAUUUACCUAUUAUGAUAUGAGUUGAAAAUUUUUUUUCAUUGUUAAAAGGCAAGCUUCUGAGAUGAGAUCUUCCUGAGAGGAAGUUUAAAGUCUAUUUUUUGUUUCAAAUCUGCAUGAACCACAUAGCAAAUAGAGUUAUCCUUUGCAAAUCACUUUCCUCUUGGAUCUGUCUGGGAUAAAUGGACUUGAUUUAGAGAGCCAGAGAUACUCGAUGACUUUCAGAUGCACUGCAUGACUUUCCCAAGGCAGUUACACUGCCUAGAUAGAACCCAUGGACUCCUGUUUUUAUGGAUUCUCACUCCAAGUUCACUGUCUGCUUCCUUUUAGCUCUUUAUUUUAAUUUUGGAAAAGCUACAAAUGAGGAACUCAAUCUGGGCAAUGGCUCUGAAAGUGGUCACUCUGCCCAUUUUACUUGUAAAGUAAGUAGGUGUCCUCUCCCCAUUCUAAUGUGGGGCUAAACUGCCCUAGGUUUAGGAAGACAAUUUCUCUAGGACAAAGAUAUUGAAACUCUUGGAGUUCCCGUCGUGGUGCAGUGGAAAUGAAUCCGACUAGGAACCAUGAGGUUGUGGGUUAGAUCCCUGGCCUCGCUCAGUGGGUUAAGGAGCUGGCGUUGCUGUGAGCUGUGGUGUAGGUUGCAGACACGGCUCAGAUCCCAUGUUGCUGUGGCUGUGGCAUAGGCCCCAGCUGUAGCUCUGAUUAGACCGCUAGCUUGGGAACCUCCAUAUGCUGCAGGUGUGGCCCUAAAAA